UGAACACCUAAUCAAAGAAAGCAGAGAUGUGAUGUCUGCCCCCAUAGGAGGUUAUUGACCAGUUGCACUGACAGCUGAAAUAUCCACAAGCCUGAGACACGUCCUGGGCCACGGUCGUGGUAGGAACAGCAUGCUGUGGAAACAGGCGGGUGACACACCACGUCAAUCUGGACCUUUCUAAGGCUUCCUGGGGGAGGUGACACUCCGGAUGGGAUACAGAAGAUCAAACAGAGACUAUUUAAGAGUGUGAGAACAGAGACCAGGGUUCAGAUGGAGUCUAAAUAGUUAUGUAUGGCUUCAUUCCAUCUUCCAUUUUAACGUACUCAUGAAGAGUCAAAGAAAAGCACCUGAGAUGCGUCAGGGCCCACCGCCGGCGCUGAGGAUGGAACAGUGAACACAGCAAGCCACGUCCUUCCUCCUAGGGCCCAUAUUCUGAUGGAAGGAGUCAGACGAAAGGCAGAGAAAUGCAAUAGGUAAGACGUUAGAGGUGACAGCUAUAAGGAAAAAUAAAUCAGAACAAAAGCGGUGGCUGGGACUUUCCGGGAUAAACAAAACUCCAGAGGCAGAACUCAGAGGCCCUGUGGGAGAAGCCCUGCUCCGGUGCGAGCACAGCAAGGCUGCCGCGCCCCCCACUUAGCGAGGGAGGAAAGAAUCACAGAGGACGAGGUCAGGGAAAGAAGGGGCCAGGGGUGAGCCCUUGUGGUCCAGGAGGUGACCCAGCGUGGCUGACUGUGACCAGCAUCCUGUGGCUGCUGUGUGGAGUGUAGAUUGCAAGCGUGCAAGGGUUUCGAA
rnacentral:lncRNA from 10 species